rnacentral:rRNA from 1 species
GAUGAACGCUGGCGGCAUGCUUUACACAUGCAAGUCGAACGGUAACAGGCCGCAAGGUGCUGACGAGUGGCGAACGGGUGAGUAAUGCAUCGGAACGUGCCCAGUCGUGGGGGAUAACGCAGCGAAAGCUGCGCUAAUACCGCAUACGAUCUAUGGAUGAAAGCGGGGGACCGUAAGGCCUCGCGCGAUUGGAGCGGCCGAUGUCAGAUUAGGUAGUUGGUGGGGUAAAGGCUCACCAAGCCAACGAUCUGUAGCUGGUCUGAGAGGACGACCAGCCACACUGGGACUGAGACACGGCCCAGACUCCUACGGGAGGCAGCAGUGGGGAAUUUUGGACAAUGGGCGCAAGCCUGAUCCAGCAAUGCCGCGUGCAGGAAGAAGGCCUUCGGGUUGUAAACUGCUUUUGUACGGAACGAAACGGUCCUGGUUAAUACCUGGGGCUAAUGACGGUACCGUAAGAAUAAGCACCGGCUAACUACGUGCCAGCCGCCGCGGUAAAAC